rnacentral:rRNA from 1 species
UACGUAGGGUGCGAGCGUUGUCCGGAUUUAUUGGGCGUAAAGAGCUCGUGGGCGGUUUGUCGCGUCGGCCGUGAAAUCUCCACGCUUAACGUGGAGCGUGCGGUCGAUACGGGCAGACUUGAGUUCGGUAGGGGAGACUGGAAUUCCUGGUGUAGCGGUGAAAUGCGCAGAUAUCAGGAGGAACACCGGUGGCGAAGGCGGGUCUCUGGGCCGAUACUGACGCUGAGGAGCGAAAGCGUGGGGAGCGAACAGG